rnacentral:rRNA from 1 species
AUUGAACGCUGGCGGCAGGCCUAACACAUGCAAGUCGAACGAGUGGCGGACGGGUGAGUAAUGUCUGGGAAACUGCCUGAUGGAGGGGGAUAACUACUGGAAACGGUAGCUAAUACCGCAUACCAUCAGAUGUGCCCAGAUGGGAUUAGCUUGUUGGUGGGGUAACGGCUCACCAAGGCGACGAGCCCUAGCUGGUCUGAGAGGAUGACCAGCCACACUGGAACUUAGACCCGGUCCAGAGUCCUCCGGGAGGAAGAAAUGGGAAAAAUUGAACAAUGGGCGCAAGCCUGAUGAAGCAAUGCCGGGUGGAUGAAGAAGGCCUUCGGGUUGUAAAGUACUUUCAGCGGGGAGGCGUUACCCGCAGAAGAAGCACCGGCUAACUCCGUGCCAGCAGCCGCGGUAAUUC